GUAGAAAAAACAACAAUCUGUAUUAAAAGCUGUAAAUGAAGAAUCCACAUUAGGUUAUGUUGAGGAAUUAUUUGAUGCUCUUCCUUUGAGAGUCGGUAUGAGAUCAAAAUGCUUAAGGAUGCACUUGACAAUGCAAAAGAAAAUCAUGACGUCAUGCCUGAACAAAUAACAAAUUACUUUAUUUGGACUGAUAAGGCUACACUGGUUAUGGAAAGAAAGUCAAGAUUCAAAUGAAACAGAAGUUUAAUGUAGGUUAUGCAGUAAUGUUGAAAUUAGGAAUUCAAGUGCAAGUAUCGGAAGGAAAUGGCUUCCAUAUUGUAAGAACUGCACAUGCUGGUAUUACUCUUCGGUUGUUUCGACCAAGCUUGUGCCAGAUCCAACAUAUGAAUCGCCUGUAUGCAACAUGACGGUACAAUCUAAUACAGUAAUGUUAAUGCAGGACCCCAAUGGAAAUAAACCUGCUAUUGGUUUUCUUGGGCUAUCCUGGCCAAUGUUUGUUAAUGUUUCCCUGUUUGUUAACUGUAAACUUUUGGCUGAAUAAAUAAAUGAAUGAA